AGAAUUUCCAACCACACAGAAGCAAGAUGAUCUCAAAGACUCCCCUUCUCUGGCUACUGCUUUUCUGGUUUCAGGGUUCCAAUGGGCAGAUUGUGCUGACUCAGACUCCAGAAUCCCUGGCAGUGUCUCCAGGAGACAGAGUCACCAUCAACUGCAAAGCCAGUUCCAGUGUUAGUAGCUACAUGGCCUGGUACCAACAGAAAUCAGGGCAAGCUCCUAAGCUCCUUAUCUACAGCGCUUCCACCCGCCCCUCUGGGAUCCCAGACCGGUUCAGUGGCAGUGGGUCGGGCACAGAUUUCACAUUCACCAUCAGCAGGGUUGAAGCGGAUGAUGCUGGAGAUUAUUACUGUCAGCAGUAUAACAGCUGGCCUCUCACAGUGAUACAGACCAAUACAAAAACCUCCCUGCUCUAUGAAGCAUGAAGUUUAGUAGACACCCGUACACACAAGUAGCACAAGAAUCUAGUUUUCAAAUGUUCUGCCAAAAGAAAAAUAAGAUGAUAACUUCUCCCAUCCACUAACAACCUAAAACUCUA